rnacentral:rRNA from 1 species
AGCCGCCGCGGUGAUACGUAGGUGGCAAGCGUUGUCCGGAAUUAUUGGGCGUAAAGGGCUCGCAGGCGGUUUCUUAAGUCUGAUGUGAAAGCCCCCGGCUCAACCGGGGAGGGUCAUUGGAAACUGGGAAACUUGAGUGCAGAAGAGGAGAGUGGAAUUCCACGUGUAGCGGUGAAAUGCGUAGAGAUGUGGAGGAACACCAGUGGCGAAGGCGACUCUCUGGUCUGUAACUGACGCUGAGGAGCGAAAGCGUGGGGAGCGAACAGGAUUAGAUACCCCUGUAGUCCCUGUCUCUUAUACA